rnacentral:rRNA from 1 species
CGGGGUGAGUAACGCGUGGAUAACCUGCCUCACACAGGGGGAUAACAGUUAGAGAUGACUGCUAAUACCGCAUAAGCGCACGGUACCGCAUGGUACAGUGUGAAAAACUCCGGUGGUGUGAGAUGGAUCCGCGUCUGAUUAGGUAGUUGGUGAGGUAACGGCCCACCAAGCCGACGAUCAGUAGCCGACCUGAGAGGGUGACCGGCCACAUUGGGACUGAGACACGGCCCAA